UGGGGAAUAUUGCACAAUGGAGGGAACUCUGAUGCAGCGACGCCGCGUGAACGAAGAAGGCUUUCGAGUCGUAAAGUUCUUUUAUAUGGGAAGAUAAUGACGGUACCAUAAGAAAAAGCCCCGGCUAACUACGUGCCAGCAGCCGCGGUAAUACGUAGGGGGCUAGCGUUGUCCGGAAUCACUGGGCGUAAAGGGUUCGCAGGCGGAAAUGCAAGUCAGGUGUAAAAGGCAGUAGCUUAACUACUGUAAGCAUUUGAAACUGCAUAUCUUGAGAAGAGUAGAGGUAAGUGGAAUUUUUAGUGUAGCGGUGAAAUGCGUAGAUAUUAAAAAGAAUACCGGUGGCGAAGGCGACUUACUGGGCUCAUUCUGACGCUGAGGAACGAAAGCGUGGGUAGCAAACGGG
rnacentral:rRNA from 3 species